GCCUGGCUAGCUCAGUCAGUAGAGCAUGAGACUCUUAAUCUCAGGGUUGUGCGUUCAAGUUGGGCA
rnacentral:tRNA from 1 species